rnacentral:misc_RNA from 1 species
AAUACAUUAACAUAUAAAUGAGUUGGCGCAUGAGCCUAUAAACGAACCUACUUAUGAGCUUAUAAAUGAUCCAGCUCAAUAGUCUAAAUAUGCUGAGUGGUAGUAUAUUCAAACUUAGCUUGUAUUUUAAAAGAGUCUAAAAAUCAAGCUCAAGCUAAGCUUAUUUACAAUCCUAUCAAUCUACAUGAGCAAAUGAGAUGGAGUCUGUUUAUAAUCAUAAUGUGAGAGCAAAUUCGCUACAAAGAUACUAUGUAUGCCUUUAUGUUCUAUAUAUGGUUGAAAAAUCUUAGAACAUGGCAUUGAGAAUAACACCAGAAAUAAGCAAGCUAGUUGCGGUAAGUGACCGCUGCUAAGGCUCUUUCCAUAUUUUUCCCACUAGCAUUUAAAUUUCAAUUUCACACUAAUACCGAUGAACAUCACCACGGCUUUGUAUCUCAUAACUGCAGCAGUUUGUUUCUUCUAGAGAUGAUAAAUAUUAGUGGUUAAUUCAGAAGGUUUUUUAAUUUAUUUGCUGAGGAUUGAAUUGAUCUCUGGUAUUUAAUGGAGCAAAAGCUUAUACAUUUUCCAGGCUUGAAGGAAUUCAUGUUGGGAAUUUGGAAAAAAUUAUGCAGCAUUCGGUGCUUGUUUGGCAUCUUACCCUUGCUUGUAAUAUUUGUUGGGUGCUCAGUUGUAGAACCCAAUUUCUUAAGUUGAUGUGAAGUGGCUCUUCAAAAUUGUUCAUUUAGUUUGUUUUUACUUCCAACAGAGAGUGCAAGGUUCAAUCCAUUGAAAGUGCUAGGCUGAAUCCAUUAUCUUUCCUCCAUUCUAAUAUUUAUGGAAACUAAACUUUUUGAUGCACAAGGUUGAAUCCAUUAUCUUUCCUCCAUUCUAAUAUUUAUGGAAACUAAACUUUUUGAUGCACAAGGU